rnacentral:lncRNA from 10 species
AUGGAUGAAUGAACAUCUCCAUUUUGAGACUCAUUUGUUCUAGAUUCAGAUCAUUCAACAAAACAUGGCAUGAUUUCCACAGUCUCUGACAUUCUGAUUGCAUUGCUUGAGAAAAUUCUCAGUCUGGGAAUCUCCUUAAAAUGCAGCACAGAUGAUGGCUGAAUAGGAACAGCUCCGGUCUGCAGCUCCCAGCGAGAUCAACGCAGAAGGCGGGUGAUUUCUGCAUUUCCAACUGAGGGUGUAACACUGUGACCAACGAAGAGAGUGUUUUCUAUCAGUGACUCGCAGACUUCCCUUUCACUGGAAUCCAGCUUAUUAGCUGCAUGGUUAACUUUGGAGCCAGGAAAACAUCCUGCACAUGACACUGCCAUCAAGCAGAGGAGACAUGUUUCUCGGCUUCCCCUCUCUGGGACUUAAUAGCCUCUGAAGGCUAGCCUUUACUGACUCAUGAAGCUGUGUCUGCCUGGGGUCAGUGGUGGAGACAUUGCGUUAACCCCAGCAAGCGAGCCAUCACCAGAGCUUUGCACAGGGAGACACCACAUAGAAAGGCAGAUGAGGCAACACACACACCAUCCCCAGACAGCCAUGGGUCCCCAGAGACAGGAAAAAUAUGUGUUUUCUUAAAGAAUUAGAAAAGAAAACCUUGCUUUUUCCUGUGUGGCUCAUUGGUAGGAGAUCUCAAAUUCUAACCCUUGUUUUCUCUUUUACCUCUCUGUCUGCUAAAAAGCACUCCUUAGAUCCAGUAUCUAGCAUGGUGAGCCUCCUGGAUGCAGUGCUGCAGUGGCCACUGCUGGGUCAAAAACAAACACUGGGAAAGGAGGAAAAUGAUGUUUUUCUCUCUUUCAAUAAAGCAUUUGAAAUCUCUAGUUCUGUUUUCUCCUUUCUCUCUCUGGUGUCCCAUGUAUGCAGUGAUGAGAAA